UGGAGAUGUGGCUCAGGGGUAGAGUGCUUGCUUAGCAUGCAAAAGGCCCUGGAUUCAAUACCCAGUACUGCAA
rnacentral:tRNA from 1 species